rnacentral:rRNA from 1 species
GAUGAACGCUAGCUACAGGCUUAACACAUGCAAGUCGAGGGGAAACGACAUCGAAAGCUUGCUUUUGAUGGGCGUCGACCGGCGCACGGGUGAGUAACGCGUAUCCAACCUGCCCACCACUUGGGGAUAACCUUGCGAAAGUAAGACUAAUACCCAAUGAUAUCUCUAGAAGGCAUCAGAAAGAGAUUAAAGAUUUAUCGGUGAUGGAUGGGGAUGCGUCUGAUUAGCUUGUUGGCGGGGUAACGGCCCACCAAGGCUACGAUCAGUAGGGGUUCUGAGAGGAAGGUCCCCCACAUUGGAACUGAGACACGGUCCAAACUCCUACGGGAGGCAGCAGUGAGGAAUAUUGGUCAAUGGACGAGAGUCUGAACCAGCCAAGUAGCGUGCAGGAUGACGGCCCUAUGGGUUGUAAACUGCUUUUAUAAGGGAAUAAAGUGAGUCUCGUGAGACUUUUUGCAUGUACCUUAUGAAUAAGGACCGGCUAAUUCCGUGCCAGCCGCCGCAGUAA